rnacentral:lncRNA from 1 species
CGGGGCAGCAGGGAGAGGCGGAGGUAGACAGUGUGUAAUUGCCAAGCCAGAAGGCUGGCCUGUGGCCAAUGCGUUGAGUUUAACCGCCUGUGUCACUGCCCGCCACAUCCAAGGAGGAUGCCGCCCGCGGCCAUGUUUCCAGGCUGAGUGCGCCACCGCGGGCUGGUCUGGGCCAACCUUGGGAGGACACGAGCAAAAGUGAUCAAACCUCGUAAGCCAGAAACCAUUCCAAAGGAACUUCAGUCAUGCCACUGAGAGGACGAGCAGCGCUUCGAGGGUAUACACCCUGCCACAGCGUCCAGAGGUGUGUGUACCACGGAGGCAGGGGGAAGCGAGACUGAAUGCUAUGAGCAGUGAGCACCAAUACGCCUUUCUAUGGAGCCACCACACCUCCAAUUCACAGGCUGCCUUGGCCCCUCUUUAGGGACCCAGUGCCUGGUCCUCUGGGAUCCCUGGAGAGGGCUGCCUCUGGGUGCC